CUAUGGUGAACCUUGGAUCUGCAUCAUGGCUCAUGAUGUCUCUGUUCAUAAGAAUCUGGCAAUGGUUUCUGUGGAACCUGUGAGUCCAGGACCUGAGAAGAGAGGAAGCAUGGACCUUGUCAAAGGAUCACUGGAUAGAAAACUGCAACGGCCUCUCCUAGGGAAGUCACGGACGCUUCCCAGCAUCCCUCAGUCACCUGUCCUAAGCAGGGUUCCUCUCCUGGAUUCAAAAUUGUACAGAGAAGACAUGCCAGAGCAGAAGCAGUACAAGAACCAUGCCCCCUCGGACUGCCAGAAAGGGUGCACUGUGCCCUCUACUGGUGAGGCCUGGCGACUGGAAGAUGACUGUAUGGACUCUGUGGGGGACCCUGCCCUCCGUCCACAGCUUCGCACUGCCGUGGAUGAGGCUCCUUUCAGUUACUUCCGUACACGGUCCUUUUACAUGAGGAAAAGCCUGUCUGUGGACAACCACCUGAGCUCCCUCAGCUACUCCAUCCAUCCCUCAGAGACAAAGGCUGAGCGUGUCAAGACCAAGCUCCGGAGGCAGUUUUCAGGUGCAGAACAGAGACUGGCUGAGAGCUGGAAACAGACUGGAGAGUGGGAUUUUGGAGAUGGUGUCAUCUUUGUGAGAGGAAAAGGCUGCUGUUAUGUUGAAACACUCCCAUGAUAUGCUGGGGCUGAAAUUCAAAACUGACCAUAGUAUCCAAGUUUAUGAAUUGUUGUUUCAA
rnacentral:lncRNA from 1 species